CUGCCUGACAACAGAGAGAAUGUCUAGGUCCACCCUCCUGUGAGUCAAGAGAUUCUAGUCCUGCUAGGGAGGCCUGCAGGAGGGUACCAACCAACAGCCUUUGGGGAGCAACACCUGCAGUUACAUUCAAAGGCGUGACUUUUCCAAGCAGUUUGUGAGCUGGCCGGCAUUGUCCCCAAAAGGAUAAAGGCCUAGGUUCUUUACCUGACUGGCAGAAGCAUUCCAGCACUACGAAAGGACUCUAAACAUUGUUUUCUUCAACAAAGAUUCCCAGAGUUGUGGGCCAUACUCUUAACACUGAAGUGCAUAGAACUUGGCAGAAAUCUACACUUCAGAGAUAAUAACAUAUCAUUCCAUGAAAUAAAGGAAAAGGCAUAAUCAAAAAAAGAAGUUAAAUAUGGAAACCUGUUUUGACAACAAAGAAAUACAGAUGAAGCCAGACAGGAAAGGUGUUAUGUAUGCAUGUUUUUUUCAUGUUUCACAUAAAUUAUGAUAUUGUAAGAACCUA